ACUGCGGACAAGGCCGACCUCCCAUAUGCCCCGGGUGGUCUAGAGCCCCGAGCCGGGCGAAGACCUAAAGAAGGAACCGAGGUUCUGCCACCUCGGGCAGGGCUCUCUGAGCGGACGCUGCCCGCCACUCAGGGCUGGGAGCCGCCAUCCGUCGCCUGCAGCCUCGGGGCGAAGUUAGCCGGGAGUCCUCGGGGUGGGAGGUGGGAGGGUAGGGGCCGCGAACCAAAGGGAAGGAGGUGGGAGCCGGGAGCAACGCACCUACCUAGUCCAGGCGCAAGUUUCAGUGGCGUCCCCAGGUGCGGUCCCCCGCCCCCUCGCCAGGUGCUCAGCCCCGCCGGGCGCUGCCGGAGCCCGGGACCUCAGGCGUCUCAGCCGGUUCCUGCGGGAAACGACUGUAAAUCCACAUUACUGUUCGAGCUGCCGCUCGGGCCCCACCAUUGCUUUUCUUCUGCUCAGCGCCUCUGUUCCCUGACCUGGCUACACUCGNNNNNNNNNNNNNNNNNNNNCGAUCGCUGCCUGGAGGGUGCUAGCGCCCGGGGUCGUUUGUGGGUGCGAGAGUGUGUAUACGCGUGUGUGUCCGUGAAAGAGAGUGUGCGUGUGUGUGCGAGCAGAAAGGAUGAGCUCAGACCCCGGGGCACUCGGAGGUGAACUCCGGGCUAAGCCGGAGCCCGCCGCGCUCCCGGGUGCGGGGCGUCUGCACCGCUGAUGGCUGUGCUGAUGUUGCUGUGGCCGCCGCCGCCGCGCUCUAAGGCUGGUCGCGGUGGUGCAAAAAAUGUUUCUCCGCUACUCGAGACCAAAAAACCUGCCCUGUCUACUGAGCAUGCCCGGUUUGACAGUUCCACAGCCAAGGGUUUUUUUUUUUUUUUUUUUUUUCCUCCCUUUUCCACCAAGACUCCAGGUUUUAGCCGCAGCUGAGAUGGGGUGGGGAGGAAGAGGGAGCUCCGGAGGAGGAGCAGAAGAGGAGGGCUGAGGGAGCAGGUAGCGGGCAAAGGAAAGGGAAAUCAAAAUGAGAAAGAUCACGGUGUUAGAAGGUGGAGGGAGGGAAGGAGAAAGCUGGGGGUGGGGGAGCAGAGGAAGGAAAUAUGGAUCAACAAAAUUUAGAUUUCGUACCACGAUGAGUUCCCGGCCAGAGUACUCUCAUGACCAGCUUCUAUUUUCUCCAAAGGGUUAGGUGGGGUGGGAGGUGGGGUCCGGCGGAGUGUUUGUCAUCCCCAAAUCAACCUGGGAGAGUGUUUUAUAGUCAAGACAUACACAAACGCACGCACUGUUGCACACACCACACAGACACACAGAAGCGUGAUCACGACCGCGAUGUGUAAAGCCUGAGGACUGACUGAGAAUGCAAAGUCUCUUGCCAGGAUAACUUUAGCGAAAAAAGAAAAAAGCGAGGUGGCGGAGAGAAAGAGAAAUGUUUGGGUUCCUCCUUUUCCCCUCUACCCCGCCUUCUAGAAAAGCCCAGCCCGUGAGUGCGGUGCGAAAAAGACCCGCAAGCUUUCUUAGUGUCGGUCCACGUGAGAGAACCGCUGACUGCCUCCCGCUGACAGCAUGACCUCAGUGAGCGAAGGCCGGCCACACGCAGCCUCCUGGCGGCGCGUCGGGUCAGCGCUGACACUCUUCCCCCCACCCCCACCCCACCCCCACCCCCGGAGCCGGGCCCUGCGCUCCAGCCGCUGCCCGGCCUGCGCGCCCAGC
ensembl:lincRNA